GGUGCUAGCUAGCUAACUAGUGUAAACAGAUCUACAGGGCACGCAGGGUGGUCCGUUCGCAAACAAAUGUUUGCGGUGUGUACAGUGUACGUCGUCUUUAUGGUACCAGCUUUCCAAGACCACCAGCGAGCACUCAGACCUCAGUGGAAGUCCAGACCACUCCUCGCAGUGUCAACACGACGCGGAGUCUGAAAUAAACACAUCAAGCCUGACUGAAAAUAAGGGAAAUGUGGUGAAUUAACUUCUAACUGGAGUAAUUCGAAGGCUCGGUACAGUGAGUAGCAGCAAAGGGAAGGCACUGAGGACACAUUUCUUUGUAUCUGUGGAGGUCAAGGAGCUGCUGAGCCACGGUGAUGUUGGGGAGGUAAGGAUGGUGAGGGCAGAUCUAGUUACCCCCCUCACACACAUCCCUCGGCUUGUUGAGAAAGAGCUGGGUGGUGGGGCGCUGCUAGACAUCGGUGUCUACUGUGUGCAGUUUGUGCUGAUGGUGUACAGAGGGGAAAGGCCUGAAUCUAUCCAAGCCACAGGAUACAAGCUGGAUGCAGAUACCAGUUCACAUACGGUGUCCUAUAACAUUUGAAGUGAAGUAUUGUUGUUCGGCACCCACUACCAGAGCCCAGCAUGCCUCUCAACUUCACCCACAGUGCAGAACUGCGCUAUGAAGCUGAAGAAGUUCAUCAGUGUCUUCUCAGUGGUAAGACCCAGCAGCUUGGGCUGUGAUUGUAGAUGUAAAAUCCCUUUGAACAGUCUUUAUAAGACUUAAGAGUUUUACAGUGGGAAGUUUCUGGGAAAUGAGUUGUUUUCUGUGCAUUUUUUCCAUGUAAUCUCAGGAAAGAUCUGUUUUUGGAUUUUUAUAUGAUUGCUAGAAUACGGGGAAAAAUGUAUUUGUUUUGUCUAUUGUUGUCUCUCUUUCCAUGCUUCAGCAUUAUCAGUUUGUGAAAUCAAAUGUUUUUUGACAUCUCAUAUUUGUGGCAUUCUUGGUAUGUACUUAACAUACUUGCUGGAGAGCUUAUUCCUUGACUGUACUACACAACCAUGCAGAUAUCUGAUUUGCUAGUUUAUCUCUUACUGAAAUGUUAUAGCGCCUAUGAGAACACAUCUGUUGAUUUACCAAAGCCUUUGGCACUGAAUGGCACAUAACACUGCUGGACUACGGACAAACAUCUUGACAGACUGCAUCAUACAGGACUGAAGGAGAGCUCAGUGAUUGUGUGAGAGCUCCAGUCUUCUCGCAGAGAUAACAGACGAAGCCAGAAGACAGGUUGAUGUAACUUGCAGCCAAGACGGCUCACUGCUUUUUCUAAAUAAAAUGUAUAUAAAUAGGA